UGAUAUUAUUUUACUGUGAACUUAGGCUGAAUCCCAAUUCACCCCUUGGCCCCUCCCCCUUACCCCUACUCCUCCAUUUUGCAUGUACACAUGAAUGGGGUAGUGUUGUCCCGAUUCUCAAUUA